CAGCUCACCAGGAUGCUGCUGUUCCCCACGGCCACAGCAGAGACUUGCUGAGGAGGAGGAAGGUCUUGCAGGGGGGACAGGAUGAGCAAACAAAAAAAGACACCAUCAGCACAAACCUGCCUUAACCUCAGGUGCACCCGCUGGAGUUGAGGUGUGCUGAUGAUGGCUCUUCUGAAGAGAGCAAGCCACAAACCCAAGAGAGGGUUUUGCUCUGCAGGGCUGGGACUAACGGAAAGGCAGUAAAUAAAGCAUUUACCUAUGUCUGUUAGCGUGAAGGCGAGCGGCUGUGAAAAAGCACUUCCGAGCUCAUUGGAGGCGGCGACCACAAGGGUCAACAGUUUUCUACAAGCUACUAAGAAAGUUUCUACUACUUUGGCCAACAGAAGCAGGAGAAGAAGAAGAAGGUGAAGAAAAAAACUCCACACAACAAAAAACUCUCAGAACUACCGCAGCAGUCAGAAUAUAUCAAAUACUUCAGAAGCGAAUACACCAGCAAGCACUUUCUGUAACUCUGACCUCUCACAGAGAUGCAGCUAUUUUAAAAACUUGAGGCUAUAUUGGAAACAAACUACUGCAAAG